AGAGAGAGAGAGAGAGAGAGAGAGUGAGUGAGCGGUCAGUCCUCUGGAUCCUAGCGCCGGAGAGGGAGCCCGCACUCUGAGCACGCGCACAGAUAAGAAGAGAUGUUCCAUCUCCAGCAGUCCUCGAGCUUUGGUGUCAAUAAAACUCCUCACGUCAGCGAUCAGACCCACUGAACAUUGGACGUCAGAUAGACGUGCAGAUCGUCGUCCAUGACCAAUUCUGGACGAGGUCCACAAUUCUGAUAUCCAACCUUGACCCAACUUGGACGUGAAUAUGAUGUUCAACAUUUGAAACUGGGACUGGAAUGUGUAAAAUGAAGAAAUAGAUUUUUUACAAAUACAAACACUGUUUAUGAAUAUCAUCAACAUGAUACAUAUGAAUACAGAUCAUUUUAUUAUGUGCUAGCCUGUUGAUUUAUUCAGUACAUGUGGGUUGUUGUUGUUGUUGUUUUUUACAUUAUCCUUUUUAAAACAGUUUAUUUAUUUCUGUUAAUUAACCUCUUUGUAACCAGGUUAAAAAUAUAAUUUAUUAAAAUUAGUUGAAAUAUUAAAAACUUUGAAAUCAGUGUAACAAUGUAAAAUACUAAUGCUUAAAGUAUUUAGAAAAAAACAGAAUUUCUUUUAAAAGGAGUACAAUGUGUAUAAUAAAUUUAAAAGAGCAUAUGCAUUUUAUAUGGUUCAUUUUUACAAGUAUCAUGUUUUAUUGUGAAGAGCUUUAUAAGAGGAAGUGAAUGUGGUUGUGAUCUGUAGCCUGCUCUGAGAGAGGUUUGUACAAGUGUGUAUGUAUGAACUGGAAUGUUUAUCUCUUUGUGUGUGUGUGUUCUGCUUAGUUAAUCAGUUAAUCACCUAUAAUGAAUGUAACAGCAGGAACACCGGAGGGCCAACAAUGAGACCACCCCCCCAACAUGAAUGGUGUUAGAGGAGGAGGCCACAGAAUUUUUUCCCUUCUCAUAUUUACUGACUGAUUUUUCACUUAUCAGUAGUAACUGAAAACAUGGACCCUCAAUGGUUUUGCACAGAUAGUCCAACUCCUGCAACUUGGUACAUUGCCAGAAGGUUUGCUGUGACUCCCAGCACAGUCUCAAGAACACUGAGCAGAUUCCAGGAGACUCUAAGAGAGCUGGACAGGGUUGUAGAAGGGAAGGUCUUUAACCCAAUAGCAGGACUGCUAUCUGCCCCUUAUUGCAAGGAGGAAUAGGAUGAGCACUAUAGAGCCCACUGGUGUGUCUCUGACCUGUGAAUCAGAAACAGACUCCAUGUGGGUGUCCCAGGGGCCUGAUUUCCUCCAACAAGCUCUGUGCUUUCUGCCUAACACUGUGGAUUGGCAUUUGCCACAUAAUACCCCCGAUGCCCCAGGACACCAUCAGUUCUCUCAUUAAUUCAAUUCAGUUCAAUUACAUUUUAUUCAUCACAACAACAGUCGCCUCAAGGCGCUUUAUAUUGUAAGGUAGACCCUACAAUAAUACCUACAGAGAAAAACCCAACAAUCAUAUGACCCCCUAUGAGCAAACACUUUGGCGACAGCGGGAAGGAAAAACUUCCUUUUAACAGGAAGAAACCUCCGGCAGAACCAGGCUCAGGGAGGGGCGGGGCCAUCUGCUACGACCGGCUAGGGUGAGAGAAAAAAGACAGUGUUAGAGUGAAUCGUUAAAUGUUUGUCAUUUUUAUGUUUACCAUUUGUACAUUGUUUAACUGUGUGAGGAAAGGAAUUCUUUCUGUCCUCCCCUCCCCAGAUUCUCGAGGUUCUGGGUGAGGGGCUGUAGUCUUUUAUUACAGACACAUCCUUGUGAAGGUCUUUUUGAUGUAAGCUUCCUGCCCAGCAGGAGGUCUCACACA